AGUGCCAGAAUCUUAUUAGGGAAAGAUUGUUGUGCUUUAACUCCCCGAGGAGGCCUGGAGACAGCAGCAUGCUCCUGCAGAAGGCUGAGAGGUGAAGGAAGCAGACAAGAUGGAAAAGUUAAUAGGAAGAAGGAAAAGUGUAAAAGAGGAAGCGUAAUGUGUUGUAUAUUCACCAUGGUUUCUGAUGGCUUACGCUAGACAAGAGAAGCAUACUUCGGUUUUGGCCAAGGCAUUUAAGCAUGACACCCGCCAAGCACAGCCCACAAACUCCUGCUGUGCCAACAGGCUAGUGUCUGUCCUAUUGAUACCACCUUGACUUCCAGUGCUGGAGCCUGCAUUUUCCUCCAGUGGAGAUAAUAGAGUUUGACUCUCACUGUGAAGAUACCAUAGGCUAUUAACUCACGUGCAGCGAAGAUA